GUCUGAGUUUACAUAUUUUACAGUUUUGUAAGCUAAAGAAAAUGUUCCGUAAGUGGAAGGUGGGUGUUAUAGAGAAAUUUGUCACAUUUACAAAGUUAAAGAUCGGAAUCAUUUCAACCCUAUCACUUAUCAUACUUUAUAUGAUCUAUUAUAGACACGUAGCCGAUAGACAGUCUGUGUCUGUGAUAUCAUCGACGGAUGAACCUUACAGGCAGCCCGUGUCUGUGAUAUCAUCGCGGGAGGAACCUUACAAUGACAGAUACUUUGUCUAUUCAUGCAGAAAGGGAAUCUCGUGUGGGGGAUUGGGAGAUCGACAGAAGGGUAUCAUGGCUGUAUAUUUGAUGGCCAACGCCACAAACAGUAAAUUCCGGAUUCAAAUAGAAAAACCUUGUGACGUUACCGUAGCCCUUCGACCUAAAUCUUUUAACUGGACUUUCAACAAGGAUGAGGUACAAAACAGAUCCAGUACAUAUCGUUUAUAAAACACAUAGCUAAUAUAGAAACUAACAUUCAUAACGAGAUUAGAAGUAAUUGGACACGUAUAUUGGAAAUGAAUUUAUAAUAUAGA